AAUAACAAAAGAACCGGAAAAUGGAGAGUUUUAAAUUAUUAAAGCAGAAAACACAUAAAAAAAAUUAUUACGAGUCUUUAACUAUACUAAAAGCUUUUAAAAAAAGGUAAGCAAAACAGACAGUCGUAGAAAACGAAGACAGGCCGUGAUUGUUUCCUCCUUUUUUUUGUUGUAGCAGAAGAAAUCUAAGAGAAGAACUUGUAGGUGCUUGCAUUGAUAAUGAUGGUUCUGAGGCCACCAAUGGGUGCUAGGAUCGUCAAUAUAACUCCUACUAUAAUGCAGAACUGCAAUUUUUCAUUUUUCACACAACACCAAACCAAACACAAAAGUUAUUAGUGUACAAGGAAAAAAAUCAAGAACUAUAGAUCAUUAGAAAAAAGAAAACAUACCCAAUUAAUCGUCCAGGAUAGACCAAACCUCUUUGGUUUCUUGAGAAUGAGCCAGAUAAUGCAUGGAAGCUGUAGUGGCAACAUUAAUAUGUGUGUUAUAUCAUUAAUCAUAACUAUAGUUUCUAAGAAAAAGAAUGAAACCAAUAUGAAUGAUUACGUAGUAAGUUGUUGGUAGAACCGGAAAAUGGAGAGUUUUAAAUUAUUAAAGCAGAAAACACAUAAAAAAAAUUAUUACGAGUCUUUAACUAUACUAAAAGCUUUUAAAAAAAGGUAAGCAAAACAGACAGUCGUAGAAAACGAAGACAGGCCGUGAUUGUUUCCUCCUUUUUUUUGUUGUAGCAGAAGAAAUCUAAGAGAAGAACUUGUAGGUGCUUGCAUUGAUAAUGAUGGUUCUGAGGCCACCAAUGGGUGCUAGGAUCGUCAAUAUAACUCCUACUAUAAUGCAGAACUGCAAUUUUUCAUUUUUCACACAACACCAA
rnacentral:lncRNA from 1 species